AGUUCCUCAGCCUCAGUGCUAUGAAGGUGACAGCGUGAGGUGACCCAUCUGGCCCGCCGCGAUGCUGGCAACACGGCGGCUGCUCGGCUGGUCGCUUCCCGCGCGGGUAUCUGUGCGUUUCAGCGGCGACACGCCUUGUAGGGCGUGAAGGGGUCAUUGCCCCAUUUAGGGAUGCGCACCUCCUGAUUUCCCGUCCACUGCUCUGCGCCCUGAAGUGGCUGAAAAGUGCUCUUAAAAGGAUGGGAAUCCCGUCGCCCUCAGCUGGUGCGCUCUCCACUGGGUCGUGGGGCUCCUCAUUUCAUCCUAAGUGAGCCCCUCCAUCACCUGUGUGUUAAGGAGGCAUUUCUUUCCCAUCAGUAAACACAUUUCGCCUCUUCGGCCGAGACAGCACCCAAGAAAACCUCAUUUGGCUCGCUGAAGGAUGAAGACCGGAUUUUCACCAACCUGUACGGCCGCCAUGACUGGAGGCUGAAAGGUUCCCUGAGUCGAGGUGACUGGUACAAGACAAAGGAGAUCCUGCUGAAGGGGCCCGACUGGAUCCUGGGCGAGAUCAAGACAUCGGGUUUGAGGGGCCGUGGAGGCGC
rnacentral:lncRNA from 1 species